GUGAGACAGAGAUCCACUUCAUCCUUCCAACAGGCAAGCAAGUCCAGUGGAAUUGUACCCUUCCAGUGUCCUACUGCAAAGCAGACCUCUACUGACCUACUUGAUGAAUCUUCGGAUGUUACGGACUAUGACGAUGCAGACUAUGUUCCAGACUCAUGUGGCAAUUCCUCGGAUGCUUCUAUUAUAAGUACUAUAAGUUUUUGUAGUAAGGAAUAUAAAACCACAGAAAAGAAUCUCCACCACAAACUGUCAAAGAACACA